rnacentral:snoRNA from 2 species
ACCCUCUCAGCAUCACACCUGGAGAGUUUCCAGGACUCUACCAGUGUCGGCUAUGGGAGGAAGAGUCGAGCAGAGGCCUAUCCAUUCCAUUCCUAGCUUGGCCAGUGGCUAGCGAGCGGAAGGCCAUCUGCUACAAGU